rnacentral:lncRNA from 1 species
CGCUCAAAACUGGCCAAUUGGGAAAAGACGCUUGAACUUCCUGGCUUUCACGCCAGGAAGUGCCACCCAACUCCACCUACUUCCUGGCUCAGGGCUGCAGGCAGGGGGCACACAGGCCAGGACCAGGGACUCAACUGGGCCUGCUCAAAGGAAGUCGCUGCCCAGCUCCAUGCCCCUCCCCGCGCCUUAGGGUGUGUGGUGCUGAAACAAUUUAGACGGAGAGAGAAGGAUGAUGGCUGCUGGCUCAGUGCCUCAGAGAUCCGCAGGCUGCUCAGAAUUGUAGGACUUUCUUGGUCUCCUGACGUCCCUGCUCAAGGCUUCUCUUCCCCGAGGCUCAGAGCGGCUCCUGGCUCCCACGCAUGCCCGCUUCAUUCUUCCUAUGAAAUUCAAAGAAAAUCCAAACCUUUUUCUUGGAGUACUGGCCCCAACAGAAGCCAGAGGCCCAGGAAGCACAGGGGCCUGUCGAUGCCGCCCCUGCAGCCGCGCGCAGGGAGCACCCCAGGAGGAGAGACCUGGACUUCCUCAGAUGCCUGGGGGCCAGGUGGAGGCCGCUGCAGCUCCCAGGAGAGAGAGGUGAGGGGGGCAGUGGGACUGGGGGACCCUCUGAGAGACACAGAGAGGGCCCACCGAGUAGAACUCACGUGGUGCUGGAUCCAGCUGCCUGCUCCCCGCACCCCCAGCCCUACUCCUUGGAAGCUCCCACCACAGAGGCUCCCUGCGGCCGAUGGCGCGGAGGGGCACUGCUUCGUGCUAAUAUCGUUCAAAUCAGUCGCACCUUGGUUCUCAUCCAUGGAUCUCCCUGAGGGUCCCUGAAAGCCACUGGACGCUCUCUGAUGGGGACCCAGCUCCGGCUGGAGGGCACUGAGCCAACUGAGGCCUGGACAGAGAGGUUUCUGUCCAUCCCAUUGCUGUGUGCCCUCUGGAGAGCCUCUGCCCCUCUCUGAGGACCCCCGAGCAAGCCCUCCCGGGGUCCCCACUUGGAGCCAGGCCCGUGUUAAGUUUGGAGGAGGAGAGAGAACCAAGCAGCGUGGUCCCUGCCUGUGGGGACUAAAGCAGAGACUUCACAGUACUGGGGGCGGGGCUUAAUUUGACUGGAGACUUGGUGACACCUCAGUGCAAAAGCUUCCC